GCCCUGAUGGUCUAGCGGUAUGAUUCUCCCUUAGGGUUGUAAGCCCACAUCUGGGAGAGGUCCCAGGUUCGAUCCCUGGUUAGGGCC